CCCCGUACACAAAAGCGCAUGUGCUGUGAGCUCGAUGAGUAGGGCGGGACACGUGGUAUCCUGUCUGAAUAUGGGGGGACCAUCCUCCAAGGCUAAAUACUCCUGACUGACCGAUAGUGAACCAGUACCGUGAGGGAAAGGCGAAAAGAACCCCGGCGAGGGGAGUGAAAAAGAACCUGAAACCGUGUACGUACAAGCAGUGGGAGCACCCUUCGGGGUGUGACUGCGUACCUUUUGUAUAAUGGGUCAGCGACUUAUAUUCUGUAGCAAGGUUAACCGAAUAGGGGAGCCGGAGGGAAACCGAGUCUUAAUUGGGCGUUAAGUUGCAGGGUAUAGACCCGAAACCCGGUGAUCUAGCCAUGGGCAGGUUGAAGGUUGGGUAACACUAACUGGAGGACCGAACCGACUAAUGUUGAAAAAUUAGCGGAUGACCUGUGGCUGGGGGUGAAAGGCCAAUCAAACCGGGAGAUAGCUGGUUCUCCCCGAAAGCUAUUUAGGUAGCGCCUCGUGAAUUCAUCUCCGGGGGUAGAGCACUGUUUCGGCUAGGGGGCCAUCCCGGCUUACCAACCCGAUGCAAACUGCGAAUACCGGAGAAUGUUAUCACGGGAGACACACGGCGGGUGCUAACGUCCGUCGUGAAGAGGGAAACAACCCAGACCGCCAGCUAAGGUCCCAAAGUCAUGGUUAAGUGGGAAACGAUGUGGGAAGGCCCAGACAGCCAGGAUGUUGGCUUAGAAGCAGCCAUCAUUUAAAGAAAGCGUAAUAGCUCACUGGUCGAGUCGGCCUGCGCGGAAGAUGUAACGGGGCUAAACCAU
rnacentral:rRNA from 1 species